rnacentral:rRNA from 1 species
CCUUGAUGGCGACCGGCGCACGGGUGAGUAACGCGUAUGCAACCUGCCCGAUACCGGGGUAUAGCCCAUGGAAACGUGGAUUAACACCCCAUAGUACUUUUAUCCUGCCUGGGAUGGGAGUUAAAUGUUCAGGGUAUCGGAUGGGCAUGCGUCCUAUUAGUUAGUUGGCGGGGUAACAGCCCACCAAGACGAUGAUAGGUAGGGGUUCUGAGAGGAAGGUCCCCCACAUUGGAACUGAGACACGGUCCAA